rnacentral:rRNA from 1 species
UACGAAGGGGGCUAGCGUUGCUCGGAAUCACUGGGCGUAAAGCGCACGUAGGCGGAUUGUUAAGUCAGGGGUGAAAUCCCGAGGCUCAACCUCGGAACUGCCUUUGAUACUGCAAAUCUCGAGUCCGGAAGAGGUGAGUGGAAUUCCUAGUGUAGAGGUGAAAUUCGUAGAUAUUAGGAAGAACACCAGUGGCGAAGGCGGCUCACUGGUCCGGUACUGACGCUGAGGUGCGAAAGCGUGGGGAGCAAACAGG